GUUCUCACUUGAGCAGCACAUAUACUAAAAUUGGAAUGAUACAGAGAUGAGCAUGGCCCCUGCGCAAGGAUGACAGACAAAUUUGUAAAGUUUUCCACAGUUAA